CGACGCCGCGUGGACGAUGAAGGCCUUCGGGUUGUAAAGUCCUGUCACGGGGCAAGAACGGGUCCGGAGGAUAAUGCCGGGCCUCUGACGUAACCCCGAGAGGAAGCUCUGGCUAAAUUCGUGCCAGCAGCCGCGGUAAUACGAAUGGAGCAAGCGUUGUUCGGAAUCACUGGGCAUUAAGGGCGCGUAGGCGGUCCCGUCAGUCGCAGGUGAAAGCCCACUGCUCAACGGUGGAAGGGCCUGCGAUACUGCGGGACUGGAGUGCGGGAGAGGAGAGCGGAAUUCCAGGUGGAGCGGUGAAAUGCGUAGAUAUCUGGAAGAACACCGGUGGCGAAAGCGGCUCUCUGGUCCGCAACUGACGCUGAGGCGCGAAAGCUAGGGGAGCAAACAGGAUUAGAUACCCUGGUAGUCCUAGCCGUAAACGAUGAGCACUAGGUCGAGGGGCCACCCGAGUGGACUCCCGGCCGACGGGAAACCAUUAAGUGCUCCGCCUGGGGAGUACGGCCGCAAGGCUAAAACUCAAAGGAAUUGACGGGGGCUCGCACAAGCGGUGGAGGAUGUUGUUCAAUUCGAUGCGACGCGCAGAACCUUACCUGGGCUUGACAUGCUGGUAGUACCGAACC
rnacentral:rRNA from 1 species